rnacentral:lncRNA from 1 species
GUGGCUCGGUGAAUAGUACGUCAUCUCGGAGAAUGCACGUGGCUCGGUGAUUUGGUAUAUCACUUCGGAGAAUGCACGUGGCUCGAUGAUUAGUACGUCGCCUUGGAGAAUGCACGGAGCUUGAUGAUUAGAUAUAUCACCUCGGAGAAUGCACAUGGCUCGGUGACGAAGUAUGUCGCUUUGGAGAAUGCAUGUGGCUCGGUGAUUAAGUGUGGCAUCCUAAAAGAGACACGUGGGCUCGGUAAUUUGAUGCAUUACCUCGGAGAAUGCACGUGGUCUCAAUGAGUACAUUUGGCAUCUAAA